rnacentral:rRNA from 1 species
GACGAACGCUGGCGGCGUGCCUAAUACAUGCAAGUCGAACGCAUUUUCUUUCACCGUAGCUUGCUACACCGAAAGAAAAUGAGUGGCGAACGGGUGAGUAACACGUGGGUAACCUGCCCAUCAGCGGGGGAUAACACUUGGAAACAGGUGCUAAUACCGCAUAAUUCCAUUUACUGCAUGGUAGAUGGAUGAAAGGCGCUUUUGCGUCACUGAUGGAUGGACCCGCGGUGCAUUAGCUAGUUGGUGGGGUAACGGCCUACCAAGGCUGGGAUGCAUAGCCGACCUGAGAGGGUGAUCGGCCACACUGGGACUGAGACACGGCCCAGACUCCUACGGGAGGCAGCAGUAGGGAAUCUUCGGCAAUGGACGCAAGGCUGACCGAGCAACGCCGCGUGAGUGAAGAAGGUUUUCGGAUCGUAAAACUCUGUUGUUAGAAAAGAACAAGGAUGAGAGUGGAAAGUUCAUCCCUUGACGGUAUCUAACCAGAAAGCCACGGCUAACUACGUG